rnacentral:lncRNA from 1 species
UUCCAUUUCUACAUUUUAAUCAGACAAAGAUGACGUCACAAACAUAAAUACAAAAUACUGACAAAAGGGGAACAACUCUCUCUCAUAUACAGAAACAUAAUCUGACCAUACAUACUGAUAUACAACAUCACGCCCCGAAAAAAAAAAUUUACUAAAUUUUUACAAUGGUCAAUAUGUUUAUGUGUUAUAAAAAAAAUACAGUAUAUAAUAAUUUCCAAAAUUGAAAGUUUACAUGAAUAAAGUUAAUCUCUCGACACUCUACUAACCAUUUUAAAACAAACGUAUCAACGCUGUAAAACCGAAAAUCUGGCAUCUCGGACUCCUCCCUCGGAUGACCUUAUGCACGCAUUACUUCCACACAACAAUAUUACAGUGAUACACACAUAUUAAUGGCAUUUUCUACUAGACAAACAUAUAUCAUUAUAAAUAGCUGAAUACACAUUUGAUGAUAUCAUCA